UACCAGCUCUCCGAGUUGUAGGGAUGAUUAUUGGGCUUAAAGCGUCCGUAGCCGGCUUGGCAAGUCUCCUGUUAAAUUCAGCGACCUAAUCGUUGAGCCGCGGGAGAUACUACUAGGCUAGGAGGCGGGAGAGGUCGACGGUACUUUCGGGGUAGGGGUGAAAUCCUAUAAUCCCGGGAGGACCACCAGUGGCGAAGGCUGUCGACUAGAACGCGCUCGACGGUGAGGGACGAAAGCUGGGGGAGCGAACCGGAUUAGAUACCCGGGUAGUCCCAGCUGUAAACGAUGCGGGCUAGGUGUUGGGGUGGCUACGGGCCACUUCAGUGCCGCAGGGAAGCCAUUAAGCCCGCCGCCUGGGGAGUACGGCCGCAAGGCUGAAACUUAAAGGAAUUGGCGGGGAGCACCACAAGGCGUGAAGCUUGCGGUUC
rnacentral:rRNA from 1 species